UUGGGUGAAUGUGGUACAACUUGACCCCUAAGAAUAGGGUCUAACCAGAUGAGGGAGAUUUAAAUGGCAGAGACAGCAGUACCACAGCACCUCGUUACUCAGAAGUGACUGUCCAGGAGGAGUUAUACUGAGGACUCUCCAAAUAGCUUUGGAUUUUUUUUAGUGCUUGGUUAGUGAACAUGGAAAUGAAACUCUGCUCAUGGAUUUGGUCCUCUAGACCAAAAUUGAGCUUCAUUGCAAGUGAGCAACUCCAUGGCUACAGAGGUACAAAUUUAUGCUGUCACACAUGCCUGCUACAGGGAAAGCAAGUAAAUGUCCUGGUGAUGCCUGAGAAGUGGUUUCUUCGUUGAUGGGGCAUAGGGAGCCUGAGGUGACAGAGGAAAACUUACUCCGCCGCCCACUGCAUGAGAUCCUGAGGCUGGGUCCAGAUGGCAGCUUUGGUAAACUGCUUCAGCAUUUCCGGCAGCUCCGGUGGGAUGCAUACUUGUUUGUCUAUCUGAGACAUUGAUUUCUUGACCUACAGGCAGAACAACACAGAAAACAAGAAUUUUAUUUGAAUCAUAAACGAUCAUGGAAAGACAAGUGUACCUCUCCACCACUCAUCAAAAGUUUCUUUUUGGUGGCUUGAGAGAUGG